rnacentral:rRNA from 1 species
UACGAAGGGUGCUAGCGUUGUUCGGAAUCACUGGGCGUAAAGCGCGCGUAGGCGGCGAACCAAGUCAGAGGUGAAAGCCUGGAGCUCAACUCCAGAACUGCCUUUGAAACUGGUUUGCUAGAGUGUCGGAGGGGAUAGCGGAAUUGCUAAUGUAGAGGUGAAAUUCGUAGAUAUUAGCAGGAACACCGGUGGCGAAGGCGGCUAUCUGGACGACAACUGACGCUGAGGCGCGAAAAGCGUGGGGAUCAAACAGG